GACGAAGGUGGCGAGCGUUGUUCGGAAUCACUGGGCGUAAAGCGCACGUAGGUGGUGUCGUAAGUCGGGUGUGAAAUCCCUCGGCCUAACCGAGGAACUGCGCCCGAUACUGCGAUGCUUGAGGAUCAGAGGGGUGCAUGGAAUUUCCGGUGGAGCGGUGAAAUGCGUUGAUAUCGGAAGGAACUCCGGCGGCGAAAGCGAUGCACUGGCUGAUUUCUGACACUGAGGUGCGAAAGCCAGGGGAGCAAACGGG
rnacentral:rRNA from 1 species